UAUAGGUGGCAUUUGGGGCAACUGACUAUAGUCAUACUUCAGAGAUACUAUGGCUUCAGUGCCAGACUAUUAUCAAAGAGAGUUCAAAUCUUUUUUGUCAUGGAGGGUCUUGCCUUUAAUUUGCAAAAACAACGCAACACCUAGGAAGCACAAUAAAGUGGAGCGCAAUAAAACGGGUGUGCGGAGCCUUGGCUAACAGUAAUAACGCUGGACUUGGAGACUCUAGAACCCAUGUUUUUUCUUCUGUGCCACACUACCUGUCCAAGCCAUCGGUACCUCAGGAGAACUGAUAGGCACCCUGCAUGUUUUACAGGUAGUGGAAGCCGUGGGCAGAGUGCUUGGAAAUAAAACCAAAUCUGCAGACCCUUAACCUCCAGUCCUAUUUUAGAAGCACUUACUCCCCCCAUUAGCAGGGGGCUCACCCGUGUGGCUGACAAGGGUGGUUUUCUAAAGCUCCACGAAGCAGCCGGAAGAACUCUCCCGUGGCCCAGUCCUUUGUUGACUGUUGAUAAAGAAACUGCCAUGUUUAACUUCUUCCUCCAAGACUGGGCACCUGAUCUCCAGAGUUACUUCCUUCUCUUUUCAUUGCCUGGGGGUGGGGAGUGUGUGUGCAAACUCUUAGCCAGGACUGAAGGUUCGCAUAAGCUGGCCUGAACAAAAUGAGAACACAGAAGCGUGCAGUGGACGCCAAGGGUGAGAACAGAACCAGGCCUCGGGAAUGGCCUACUACCAGGGCCUCAGACACCACAAAGACCCUCUCUCUUUGACCACAUUUCCUUCUGGGUGGAGUUCCUGCUCUUGCCUCAGCUGCUCCAGUUCACGACGUAGAAGAUAUGUCUGCCAGCAGCUCUCUGUUUACAUGAUCCAGUCAUCCGGAGACACUUAGCGUCUCAGUCCCAGUGCCAAGUUCAUGAGAGAGUGGAAGAGAGAGGGAAAGACAGAGGAAUAUCGAUCUGAGAAAAACACAUCGAUGGGUUGCCCCCUGCACGACCCCAACCAGGACCCCAGUUGGGGAGGAGCCUGCAACUGAGGGGCCAGAGGCCCACCGGAUGGGAAAUUGUGAUAAACACACACACACACACACACACACACACACACACACACACUCUUUUAUUUUUGAGUAGUAUGAUAAUAUAUUUUACUUCUCUGCAUUUUACAUUAAGAACACAAGACUGAAGAACAUAAAAUAAUACUUAAACAUACA